CAGCAGCAGCCACGGUAAUACGGAGGAUCCAAGCGUUAUCCGGAAUCAUUGGGUUUAAAGGGUCCGUAGGCGGUCUUGUAAGUCAGUGGUGAAAGCCCAUCGCUCAACGGUGGAACGGCCAUUGAUACUGCAGGACUUGAAUUAUUGGGAAGUAACUAGAAUAUGUAGUGUAGCGGUGAAAUGCUUAGAGAUUACAUGGAAUACCAAUUGCGAAGGCAGGUUACUACCAAUUGAUUGACGCUGAUGGACGAAAGCGUGGGUAGCGAACAGGAUUAGAUACCCCAGUAGUCCCUGUCUCUUAUAC
rnacentral:rRNA from 1 species